GAUGAACGCUGGCGGCGUGCUUAACACAUGCAAGUCGAACGGAAAGGCCCUGAUUUUUUGUGGUGCUCGAGUGGCGAACGGGUAAGUAACACGUGAGUAACCUGCCCUUGAUUUUGGGAUAACUUCAGGAAACUGGGCCUAAUACCGGACAGGAGAUCCCCUUGCAUGGUAGGGGUUGGAAAGUUUCGGCGGUUGGGGAUGGACUCGCGGCUUAUGAGCUUGUUGGUGGGGUAGUGGCUUACCAAGACUUUGACCGGUAGCCGGCCUGAGAGGGUGACCGGCCACAUUGGGACUGAGAUACGGCCCCGACUCCGACGGGAGGCAGAAGUGGGGAAGAUUGCACAAUGGGCGGAAGCCUGAUGCAGCAACGCCGCGUGCGGGAUAACGGCCUUCGGGUUGUAAACCGCUUUCACCUUUGACGAAGCGUGAGUGACGGUAAUGGAUAAAGAAGCACCGGCUAAGUACGUG
rnacentral:rRNA from 1 species